rnacentral:rRNA from 1 species
GACGAACGCUGGCGGCGUGCUUAACACAUGCAAGUCGAACGGAAAGGCCCUGCUUUUGUGGGGUGCUCGAGUGGCGAACGGGUGAGUAACACGUGAGUAACCUGCCCUUGACUUUGGGAUAACUUCAGGAAACUGGGGCUAAUACCGGAUAGGAGCUCCUGCUGCAUGGUGGGGGUUGGAAAGUUUCGGCGGUUGGGGAUGGACUCGCGGCGUAUCAGCUUGUUGGUGGGGUAGUGGCUUACCAAGGCUUUGACGGGUAGCCGGCCGGAGAGGGUGACCGGCCACAUUGGGACUGAGGUACGGCCCAGCCUCCUACGGGAGGCAGCAGUGGGGAAUAUUGCACAAUGGGCGGAAGCCUGAUGCAGCAACGCCGCGUGCGGGAUGACGGCCUUCGGGUUGUAAACCGCUUUCGCCUGUGACGAAGCGUGAGUGACGGUAAUGGGUAAAGAAGCACCGGCUAACUACGUG